GUGAUUCCCACUUCAUUAGUGAUGUGGUGAUCUCCUCGGAUGACCAGUUUACACUCUUGGGCUCCUGGGAUGGGACCCUGUGCCUAUGGGAUCUCACAAUGGGCACCACCAUGUGAAGACUUGUGGGUCAUACCAAAGACAUGCUGAGUGUGGCCUUCUCCUCUGACAAUCAGUAGAUUGUCUCUGGAUCCCGAGAUAAAACCAUCAAGUUAUGGAAUACUCUGGGUGUGUGCAAAUACACUGUCCAGGAUGAGAGCCACUCAGAAUGGGUGUCUUGUGUCCCCUUUUCACCCAACAGCAGCAACCCCAUCAUUGUUUCCUGCAGCUGGGACAAAUUGGUCAAGAUAUGGGAUCUGGCUAACUGCAAGUUGAAGACCAGCCACAUCGGCCACACGGGCUAUCCGGUGACGGUGUCUCCAGAUGGAUUUCUUUGUGCUUCUGGAGGCAAGGAUGGCCAGGCCAUGCUAUGGGACCUCAAAGAAGGCAAGCACCUUUAUACGCUAGAUGGUGGGGACGUCAUCAAUGCCCUGUGCUUCAGCCCCAACCGCUACUGGCUCUGUGCCGCCAAGGGCCCCAGCAUCAAGAUCUGGGACUUAGAGGGCAAGAUCAUUGUAGAUGAGCUGAAGCAGGAAGUUAUCAGUACCAGCAGCAAGGCAGAGUCACCCCAGUGCCCCUCUCUGGCCUGGUCUGCUCAUGGUCAGACUCUGUUUGCUGGCUACACAGACAACCUGGUAUGAGUGUGACAGGUGACUAUCGGCACUCAUUAGAAAUUUGUGACAGAGCUUUAGAAAUAAAAAAACCUGAUUUUCUGAC